ACAGUUUCAGGUUUACAUUUGCACAAACAUUUAGUGCGCAUAAAUUAUGGAUCAGAAAAGAAAUUUGCACAAGAGAAAAUUUCUGUGCAUGCAUUUCUAAAAGAAUCACUUCCUCCCAGUUUCAUAAGAGAGCUCCAUGUGGGAGGGGAAGGAGGCUGAAGGUGGCAGCUGGAACCACAGGCUGCAUGGGGAGGAGAGGCAGAAGUGAGUUGUUGCAGACCCUCAUGCUCACUUCUAUCAGCCUCAGCCAGCAUUAACAGGAC